UACGGAGGGUGCAAGCGUUAUCCGGAUUCACUGGGUUUAAAGGGUGCGUAGGCGGGCAGGUAAGUCAGUGGUGAAAUCCUUGAGCUUAACUCGAGAACUGCCAUUGAUACUAUCUGUCUUGAAUAUUGUGGAGGUAAGCGGAAUAUGUCAUGUAGCGGUGAAAUGCUUAGAUAUGACAUAGAACACCUAUUGCGAAGGCAGCUUACUACGCAUAUAUUGACGCUGAGGCACGAAAGCGUGGGGAUCAAAACAGG
rnacentral:rRNA from 1 species